CCUACGGGAGGCAGCAGUGGGGAAUAUUGGACAAUGGGGGGAACCCUGAUCCAGCCAUGCCGCGUGUGUGAAGAAGGCCCUCGGGUUGUAAAGCACUUUCAGUGAGGAAGAACGCCUGGUGGUUAAUACCCAUCAGGAAAGACAUCACUCACAGAAGAAGCACCGGCUAACUCCGUGCCAGCAGCCGCGGUAAUACGGAGGGUGCGAGCGUUAAUCGGAAUUACUGGGCGUAAAGCGCGCGUAGGUGACUUGAUAAGCCGGUUGUGAAAGCCCCGGGCUCAACCUGGGAACGGCAUCCGGAACUGUCAAGCUAGAGUGCAGGAGAGGAAGGUAGAAUUCCCGGUGUAGCGGUGAAAUGCGUAGAGAUCGGGAGGAAUACCAGUGGCGAAGGCGGCCUUCUGGACUGACACUGACACUGAGGUGCGAAAGCGUGGGUAGCAAACAGGAUUAGAUACCCGUGUAGUC
rnacentral:rRNA from 1 species